rnacentral:rRNA from 1 species
AGGUAGCGAAAUUCCUUGUCGGGUAAGUUCCGACCCGCACGAAUGGUGUAACGAUUUGGGUACUGUCUCAACAAGGGACCCGGCGAAAUUGUAGUAUGUGUGAAGAUGCACAUUACCCGCGAUAGGACGGAAAGACCCCGUAGAGCUUUACUGUAGUUUAACAUUGGAUUCCGGUAACAUAUGCACAGGAUAGGUGGGAGGCGGAGAAGCAGUGAUUUCGGUUGCUGCAGAGCCGACGUUGGGAUACCACUCUUGUGUUACUGGGGUUCUAACCUGUGGCCGUGAUCCGGCACAGGAACAGUGUUAGAUGGGCAGUUUGACUGGGGCGGUCGCCUCCAAAAGAGUAACGGAGGCGUCCAAAGGUUCCCUCAGAAUGGUUGGAAACCAUUCGAAGAGUACAAAGGCAGAAGGGAGCCUGACUGCGAGACCGACAGGUCGAGCAGGGACGAAAGUCGGGCUUAGUGAUCCGGCGGUAUAGAGUGGAAUUGCCGUCGCUCAACGGAUAAAAGCUACCUCGGGGAUAACAGGCUUAUCUCCCCCAAGAGUCCACAUCGACGGGGAGGUUUGGCACCUCGAUGUCGGCUCGUCGCAUCCUGGGGCUGGAUUAGGUCCCAAGGGUUUGGCUGUUCGCCAAUUAAAGCGGCACGCGAGCUGGGUUCAGAACGUCGUGAGACAGUUCGGUCCCUAUCCAUCGUGGGCGCAGGAGAUUUGAGAAGAGCUGUCCUCAGUACGAGAGGACCGGGAUGGACGCACCAAGGGUGUAUCAGUUGUCACGCCAGUGGCACAGCUGGGUAGCCAAGUGCGGAUCGGAUAAACGCUGAAGGCAUCUAAGCGUGAAGCCGACUUCAAGAUAAGAUCUCCCAUCCGCAAGGAGUAAGGCCCCAUGUAGACCACAUGGUUGAUAGGUCGCAGGUGGAAGUGCAGUAAUGUACGCAGCUGAGCGAUACUAAUAGGCCGAGGGCUUGAUCAA